CGUAAUUGGUAACUGCAGGAGGAGUUGUUUACAAGGCGAUGGAGUUCCGCAUGCAAUGUGCAGAUUUUGUUACCAAUCAGGGCAUUUAGUGAAAUGGUGUGGCUUAAAAAAUUUCUCCCAGUGCACGUAUCAUUUUUGUGACCAUAUCAAGGUUGUCUGAUCCCAAGUCUCGAACUCCAUCAUUUCACAAGUUAAGGCAUAAAGAACAACACCAUCUGCAACCACUGUUAAUUAAUUAAUGUGUCGCUUGGUCUGGAUGUGUAUUAAAACAUAUUGACAUUUUCACUGGAUCAGAAACUGAAACCGAAUCCUCAAUUGCAACUGCAAUUGCUAAGUCUUAUGGAAUUUGCUGCUGUGCAUGGCUGCUCACUUUUUCCGGUCCAGGAAUGUGAAUUUAUUGUUCAAAGGUCAGCUUUGUGGCUAAAGUCGUUUGUUUACUUCGAAUGCGUUUGAAUAGACAAUUUUUAAAUGCCCUUCAUUUAUCAAAAAAUUAAAUUCCAUGCUAGAUAGCAAAAAUGACAUUGAUGCAAUAACAUGGUAGAACA